GGGGAUGUGGCUCAGUGGUAGAGCACUCGCCUAACGUGUGAGGCACUGGGUUUGAUUCUCAGAACCACA
rnacentral:tRNA from 1 species